UCACCGCCCCUCAGGCCUGCGGGGCGGGCUCCGGCUAGAGGGGCCCUGCCGGGCUGCAGCCCCCGGCCAAAGCCCCGCCCCCGGCCAGCCUGUGGCGCGCGGGUCUGGCGAGCUGGAGCAGGAGGCCCUGUGACCCCCCCCCUCCGGAGGCGGGAUUAGCCCCUUCCCCGAACCGAACCCCUGGGAAAGUCGGGGGGUGCUGCCAGCUCGCCUGCCCUGGCCCCCUGUGGCGUGGGGGGGUCCUGAAUCCCCUGCUCCUGGAGCCCUGUGAUGAGGGAAGGCUCCCAGCUUCCAUUGAAAAGGGGUCUGGCCCUGGGGCGGCUGAGCCAAGCUGGGGGAAGGUGACCCUCGAAGGCUCAAAAGGUGCCCCUUCUGCUUCUGACAGUCUUUGCAAUAAGGAACAAAAAAGCAGCAGCGACUGGUCUCCACAGCACCAUUUAUAACUCUUGUACAACCUGCAUUGUCUGACAUCUGAACGAAAAUAAGAUCUACAGCUUCAGAAUGUGGAGAAGGGUGCAGUUUCCCUGGCAUGAAAUAUCUGAUCAAUUUUCACGCAGACAAGGCUGUGGGAGCUCUUAUUCCAGUUCUCUGGUCCAUCAGCGAGACCUUCAGCAAAAUCAGGGAAGACUUGAUAAUCCUAUCUCUAGUUAUGGACCAGCUUACCAAACAAUCCAGAACACUCUGUAUGACUUCCCUGUCAUCAUUAUUUCUCAUUCCACCAAACUUUAUGUGAUCCACAAAUUUUAGCAGCAGUGAUUUUAUAUUUAUUUCCAGAAAGCCACGUUGACAGAACAUUUUCUUGCUUAUGCAUGCAAAGGGAAAGAAGAGGGGAUAAGAGCUGUCUUAUCACCUAAAACUACCCAGACACUGGAAACUUCACAUGACAAGUCAUCACUUAUACUGACAGAGAAAAAUGUUUUAAUUUUAGUUGUAUUGUGGGGUGGUGGUGAUCGUGGGCUUUUGUUUUGUUUUAUUUUCUUCCCCAACAUGAUUUUGAAGUGUUUCAAUAUGAAUUGUAAAGUAUAUAGAAAAACCUUUUUGAGACCGCUCUGCCAUCGUCUAUCUUCAGCAUUCCAUACUCUUUUUUAUUUAUUCUAUAGCACUGUUUCCUAAAGGCUGGGCUACACACAAACUUCCACUGAAAUAGCUAAAUCAGUUGUAACUGAGACUUCUUGUUAUUUUGGUGCCAUCCUGUGAGUGGACAUUCUUAUUUUGGUAUCAGACUGCCUGUAUUGAUUUAGCUUAUAUUGGUGUUUUACUGACUUCAGCUAAAUUGUAGUAGGACACUUUAAUUCUGAAAUACACAGACUUCCACCAAAACAACAAAAUGUGUCAAUUACAACUGAUUGAGGCUAUGUCUACGCUACCAUUUAUGUUGGUAUAACUUAGAUCAUGGGGGCAGGUGGGUAGUUAAGCCGACGGGAGAGCUCUACACUAGAGAGCUUACGAUACAGCUGUGCCACUGCAACGUGUGUGGUGAAGAUGUUCUAUGCCGAUGGGCGAGAGCUCUCCUGUUGGCGUAAAAAACCCACCUCUGCGAGAGGCGGGAACUAUGUCGGCAGGAGAAACUCUCCCGCCAACGUAGCGCUGUCCACACUGGCGCUUAGAUCGGUGUAACAUAUGUUGCUCAAGGGGGUUGGUUUAGUCACACCCCUGAGAGACAUAAGUUAUGUCAAUAUAGGAUGUAGUGUAGAGAUAGCCUGAGUUAUUUUGGUGCAAGUUUAUAUGAGAACAAGGCUUAAAAUUUCUCUAGCCAUAUUAGAAUCUUUGGCCUACCUGCACCAUAAAAUACCUUCUAGAUGGAUUUUGUUUUCUUUUACUUGUUUUAUAGAAUGGAAUUUUCCUUCCAGGGACAGACUUUUCAUUUUGUUUUUAAAUUUGUGAAUAAAUUGGUGAGAGACUAAUACCACCAGCAUGAGCCAGGCAUGGCCCAGGAAGCUGCUAUGCAUAUUUCCACACAGAGACAAUGCAGGAUGCAUUUCCUUAUGUAGUGAGAAAGGGCAGAGAAGGCAAAGACUCUCAGCAAUCUAGCAUAUAACUAUGCUGGAGCAAGUGAACAGCCAGUCAUCAGGAAAAAAUCUAGUAACCAGCAGUGGCCAUUAAAGAUUGCUAAAUACUGGGUAGACUUGUUUGGGAAUGAUGAGGAGGAGUGUACUGCUGUAAAUGGGUCAGCAUCCAGAGCAGGAGCUAGUGGUGCCCAGCCCCUGUGCAGCAAGCUUUGCCAAGCCCUUCGCAAUCUGAAAUGAAGUAAUCGAUGUCAUCAUUUCUAGGUAGCCCCUCGGAGCUAAGAAAUCCAGAGAAGCUAGAGUGCUGGUAGUGAAGUUCCAUGGCAAAGCUAUUUUGGCUGUAGCAUAAAGAUAUUUUUAAGCUCUUAGACCAGGAGCAUGCAGGAGUCCACCACAACAUCCACAGAAUGUCAGACAGCAGAUUAUUUUCAGAGGACAGCUAGGUUAAUUAAUGUUCAUGUAUGAAAUGUGCUCAGAACAUAGUCCAUGGAUUAGAAACAAUACAUCCACCUCUUCACCACAAUCACCUGCCUCAGGCCAAACCCAGGAAAAGAUAUGGCCAUUUCAGUUUUGCCUAAAAGUCAACACAUUUGGAUUUUGUUAGACUAGAAAAGCAAAUUCCAGGAUGGGGCCCCAUCACUGACACCGCCCCUUUCCAGCCACUUAGACAUUCAACUUUAGGGACUGCAUCCAAGAGCCCUACAGCUGACCUUGACUGUAAUGUCAGGAGGAGAGACAGUUUCUCAGAUAACCAGCAGGCAAGCCACAUACCAAACAAAGACAUAGAUUUCUGUUGUUAGCAAAUACCUGCUGCUCAGAGAAGCAAUCAUUCUUGCUAACUUUUCUGUAUUAAGUUGUAUUGGUUUUCCAAAGAAUCAUACCAGUGUGCAGCAAAUUUGGGUUUUUCCUGACUCCAGUGUUUCCACAGACCACCCCCUAUUUGUGCUGUUUGGAGACACUUGCCUUGGAGCGUUUUACUGCUGUAAGUUGGUAUGACAUGAUACCAAGUAGGAAGUUUGGGGUUGUGCUCAGAGGUCAGAAGCAGGUUUUAUAGUAUGGUCCUAUGGUUUUUAAUGUGCCAGUCGCGGGAGCAUGUGCCCCAAAUUCCUGGCCUACAAUAGCCAUUCCAUUCCAAUUCUGGGCUUUUUCUGAACAGACACAGCCAGCUGUGCCUAACACCAUGGUCAUUGUCUCUGACAUGCACUAGUGGGGAGUAGGAUAAGACCAUCAAACAUCUUUUCAGAGGUGAAAGGCCAGUAUAAUCACACCACAUCCCCCUUUGCACGUAUUUGAUCUCAUUCUGGUUCCUGGUACUACAAAGUUUCCUUGAGCCUUUCUGGUCAUUUUGAAUAAUUUCAAUUGAGUAGUUUAAAAAAUGCAUCAGUGACUUAGGAACCUAAGUUCUAUUGACUCUCAAUGCUUUGACCUUUUAUAGUUAGUUUUAUUCUCUCUGUAAACAGAUGUUCUUUUUCAGAAAGGAUUUUUAAAAAAUAUUUAUUACAACUGCACAUAUUCUGUAGGUUAUGGCCUUCCUUUCGCUUUCCUAAUGAAACUUACUGAUGAAUAAAUCACUAUGGGCUGGAUUCUGACUCCUUUUUGUAUAUUGACUACCACUUAGUCCAUGAGCGGUCCCAUUGAUUUCAGUGGAGUAAGGUACUGUUCAACAAGAGUGAGGAUAUUAGAAUCUGACCCUGAGCCAUGGGCAUAUUCUGCGAGUUCUCAUUUACCUCUUUUGUUUCUGAUAAAAGCCCCUGGCUAACAAAAUAAUAUCUAAUCUGUUGCAAGACCAGUUUGGAUGAUUACUGCAUCCUAGUUAAUAUUUCAUGAUAUUUGUGACCUUUGAGUUGUUUUUGUCAGACGCUUUUUCCGGCACUAAUAAAUAGCUAAUAAACCUCUCGGAGGAACUUUCCAUUCAUAUAUUGAA